UACGUAGGGGGCAAGCGUUGUUCGGAAUUACUGGGCGUAAAGGGCGCGUAGGCGGCACGGCAAGUCGGGAGUGAAAGCCCGGGGCUCAACCCCGGAGGGUCUUCCGAAACUGCCGAGCUAGAGUGCGGAAGAGGCAACCGGAAUUCCCAGUGUAGCGGUGAAAUGCGUAGAUAUUGGGAAGAACACCAGAGGCGAAGGCGGGUUGCUGGGCCGACACUGACGCUGAGGCGCGAAAGCCAGGGGAGCAAACAGG
rnacentral:rRNA from 1 species